rnacentral:rRNA from 1 species
GGACUACUAGGGUAUCUAAUCCUGUUUGAUACCCACACUUUCGUGCUUCAGUGUCAGUUGUGGCCUGGCAAGCUGCCUGCGCUAUCGGAGUUCUUCGUAAUAUCUAAGCAUUUCACCGCUACACUACGAAUUCCGCCUGCCUCGUUCACACUCAAGAUAACCAGUUUCAACGGCAAUGUCAAAGUUAAGCUCUAACCUUUCACCGCUGACUUAAUCACCAACCUACGCACCCUUUAAACCCAAUAAAUCCGGAUAACGCUCGCAUCCUCCGUAUUACCGCGGCGGCUGGCAC